GUGGGAGUGGCCAGGGCGGGCCACAUUUGGGCUAAAGGCCAGGUGAGGGGGCUGGGCGUCCCAGAGGAAUUGGUCUGGGGCAGGUUGGGACUGAGUCGCUGGCAGAGAGAGGGGACCACAGGAGUGUGGGUCCUUCACUCCUAGGAAAGCGCAGGAGGUGAGAGUGGACUUCCUUCUAGGGGUUCAAACACCAAGGGUGGCCUGUGGAGAGAACACAGGAUGGCAGAGCCUUGGAAAGCUAAAAAGGUGAAACCUUUCUCUUACUACUCCAUUCUCAAGGAGCCAGGACGUCUCCAGCUGAUGUAAUCUUGGCCUGGACUGUCACAGCAUCACCGGAGGUCUCAGCUGUGACCAGAGGCAAAAAUGGAGUUAUGCCUGGACAUGCCAUAGCCCCCCUGCAGGCAGGAAAACAAGGCCUAAACAUAAUUUAAUCUUGCAAUGCUUUUCCCCCAAAGUUAUGUAGACUUGCUCUUGACAUCAACCCAUGUAUAAUUUACUGUGGCAUGCGAGGCUAGAAUCUAACCUUUCUUGAGGCAGUUACCCUGGCCUGACAUUGUUUAUGAAUAACUCAUCCAUUUCACACUUAUUCAGAAUGAAAAUCCUUAUCAUAUAUUACAUUUUCAUUUUUCUCUUUUUUCUCCUGUAUCUCUUAAGAAAGAGGAUCAAGGGAUGGGUGGAGGGCAUAGAGAGGGAAGGGAAAGCAGAUGAAAAAGAAAUUAUGAUCUCUUAUGUACAUGUACCAACCUCCCACAAGGAAUGUAAGCAUUAUGUUCUACACAUAUGUACUAAUACACUAAAAUUUAAAAAUUAUCAUUCAAGAUUAAUAAAAAAUUUUAGUCAUUUGGG
rnacentral:lncRNA from 1 species